rnacentral:tRNA from 1 species
GAUGAAAUGACAGAAUGGGAUGUUGUAAAUUGUAAAUUUAUAAAUGUAGGUUCAAAUCCUUCUUUCGUUA